UAUAAGGGAUUUUGAGUUUUUACUUGCAACGUUUGACCACUCGUCUUAUUUAAAAAAAUUUAAAAUUAUUAUUUAUUUUAUUUGUGACUUACUUUAUUAUCUACCGUAUUUUAAGUACAACUUUUCGCUUUUUAUAUUUGCAAAAAAAAUUUAAAUAAGACGAGUGGUCAAACGUGGCAAACAAAAACAAAUCCCUUAUA
rnacentral:pre_miRNA from 1 species